UUUUCUGAAAUUGGUAAGUAGCUGAACUCAACCACAAGCUCACAAGUUUUGAACUGUUUAGAAAGUAGCAAUUAAGUUUGAAUUGAUGUUUUAGUGUGAAGUCUUUAGAAGCAAUAAGCUGUCAAUUAAGUUGUUUUGCAGAAGCUUAAGUUGGAAUACAAGUUGUGGCAGGGCAAGGGCAGAUGUGGAUAAAUUGUAAUUAGGCUGCUGAUUGGGAUACAAGCUAGGAAUAAGCUGUUUUUGGAAGAAGUUUGGUGAAGCCCGUAUUUGGGACAGAGCUCCACUAAAACGUUUCAUUGUUUUUGGUCCAGAUUUGAAGUCUGUAGACGAUUUUGAAGUUGGGGGCAGAAGUAGGAUUUUGUGCUGAACCAUGAAUAUAAAGCAAAGGAAAGCUGAGAUAGAGCAACCAACCACUUCUGCAAUUGGCGAGUAUAAACAUUUUGUCAAAGGUUCUUGCAUAGCAAAAUAAGCGUGAUAUAGCAGAGUUUUGCAAGUAUGAAGGGAGUAUGCAACUAACAUGGCUGAUUCUCCACUGCCCCCCUUAGUUCUUAUGCAACAGGCAUGGCAUGAUUGGUCGAAAGCUGUAGAGAUAUGAGUGAAGGAUUUGAAAGCGUUUGCUACGUUUAAUGAAGAACUGUUCAAGGAAAUCACACAACUAUUGACAUUGGAGAAUUUUAGGGAAAAUGAACAGUUGUCAAAGUAUGGUGAUACUAAGUCUGUGCGGGCAGUCACGUUGGUUGAGCUUAAAAAGCACAUUGAAGCCAAUCCAUUAUUUCCUGACAAAUCAAUUUCCUAACCUAAAAAACUCAAUGUUAAGGACACUCAUUAAUCAAAGCUGAGAGGAGGGUCGUUCCAGGUUCAGGUGGUGAAGAAUUCAAGUUUGCUUCCUUCAUUGCCGUGACCCUCAGCUGUGAUCAUCGUGUUAUAAAUAAAUGGGGCGAUUGGUGCCGAAUGGUUGAAAGCUUUAAAAGGCUGUAUUGAGAAUCCAUAAACCAUGUUGUUGUAAGUAGAAGGCUCCGAUGAAGUACUCAAUUCCUUUUUUUGAGUGAUAUUGUAUGCGGGAGAUAAGAUUUGAUCACCGGGUAUUUACCCAUUUGGGUUUGGUUGAUUGUAUCCCUGACCAAUUUUUUAUUUAAGUAUUUACUCUCUUACAAUAAAUUUUGCAUAAGUGAGGGUAGAUAAGACAUUGAAUUUUGAGUCCUGAAAUCAUCUUCUUAGAAGAGAAUCCGCCCUUUAUACAGGC
rnacentral:lncRNA from 1 species